rnacentral:rRNA from 1 species
AACGAACGCUGGCGGCAUGCCUAACACAUGCAAGUCGAACGAGACCUUCGGGUCUAGUGGCGCACGGGUGCGUAACGCGUGGGAACCUGCCCUUAGGUUCGGAAUAACUCCCCGAAAGGGGUGCUAAUACCGGAUAAUGUCUUCGGCCCAAAGAUUUAUCGCCUUUGGAGGGGCCGUAGUUGAAUUAGAUGGUUGGUAGGGUAAAAGCCUACCAAGGCGAGAAUGCAUAACUGGUCUGAGAGGAGGAUCAGCCACACCUGGAUGGAGACACGGCCCAGACUCCUACGGGAGGGAGCAGUGGGUAAUAUUGGACAACGGGGGGAAGCCUGAUCGAGCAAUGCCGCGUAAGUGAUGAAGGCCGGAGGGUUGUAAAGCGCUUGUACCCGGGAUGAUAAUGACAGUACCGGGAGAAUAAGCCCCGGCUAACUCCGUG